UAAAGGUUUUUCGGACAUUAAUGUCAUUAAGAUGGGAUAAUAAUUCUAAGGAAGAAAAGAAUGAAAUGAUCAAUAGCAUCAUGGAAAUUGUCAAACAUUGCAGAUCUAAGCAAAGAAGGAAAGCUUGCCAUUAAAAGUUUCGUUCUACCUUACCUGGAGAUGGUCGCCGACGAACGAAAUGCUCUCAUUCAAAGAUUUGAGGUGCGUGCAAACUGGAUGAAGUUCAAGUUCACCCUUAAAUUGCAGAUUUGAAGAAACGAUGUUAAAUAAUCACGACUUUAUAAAUAAUCUUUUCCUUAUCGUAUUGGUAGUGUUUACAACCAUGCAGUAACAAAAUAUUAACAUAGAACUUGUAGAACUUGUAUUGGUGUAGUGUUUAUAACCAUGCAACUACAGAAUGUUAACGUAAAACAUAUAUAACUGGUAUUGAUGGUGUUUAUAACCAU